CUAACUUGCGCCAGACGUGAAAUUGACAACUUUGAAAUGACGUAAGCGACCGUCUUGUCGUCUGCUUUAAUCAAUGUCCAGAGAGGCAACACCUGAAGCUAGCAGGCAGUGUGAGUUGGAAGGCGAAGAAUUUCGUUUUAAAGUUGCUGUCUAAGCAACUCAAAGAAAGUUAUCUGAUGCAACUUAAACUGAUGAGCCCGAUAAGACUGAUGGGCUUGUCCACUGAUGGACAUGUAGAUGGCAGAGAUGCAAAGAAGAGGGUAUGGCGGUGGGCGAAGAACUAGUCAGUCGGCCUGAGCAGAGAGCAGCGCAAGAGACGGGCGAAGUGAUGAACGGAUUUGGGCGAUUACAGAAGAGCGUGCCAUGUUCAGAGGAUCCCACUACUGCUGGUGCUCUUCAUCAUACUAGCACCACCACCCCACCACCGCCACCACUAACUACAACAGCAACGCCCAUCAAUCCACCCACAACUUGAAAGAAAAA